rnacentral:rRNA from 1 species
UGGGGAAUUUUGGACAAUGGGGGAAACCCUGAUCCAGCCAUCCCGCGUGUGCGAUGAAGGCCUUCGGGUUGUAAAGCACUUUUGGCAGGAAAGAAACGUCAUGGGUUAAUACCCCGUGAAACUGACGGUACCUGCAGAAUAAGCACCGGCUAACUACGUGCCAGCAGCCGCGGUAAUACGUAGGGUGCAAGCGUUAAUCGGAAUUACUGGGCGUAAAGCGUGCGCAGGCGGUUCGGAAAGAAAGAUGUGAAAUCCCAGAGCUCAACUUUGGAACUGCAUUUUUAACUACCGGGCUAGAGUGUGUCAGAGGGAGGUGGAAUUCCGCGUGUAGCAGUGAAAUGCGUAGAUAUGCGGAGGAACACCGAUGGCGAAGGCAGCCUCCUGGGAUAACACUGACGCUCAUGCACGAGAGCGUGGGGAGCAAACAGG